rnacentral:rRNA from 1 species
ACGAGGGGGGCAAGCGUUGUUCGGAAUUAUUGGGCGUAAAGGGCGCGUAGGCGGUUUGGCAAGUUUCGUGUGAAAUCUUCGGGCUCAACUCGAAGUCUGCACGGAAAACUGCCGGGCUUGAGUAUGGGAGAGGUGAGUGGAAUUUCCGGUGUAGCGGUGAAAUGCGUAGAUAUCGGAAGGAACACCUGUGGCGAAAGCGGCUCACUGGACCAUAACUGACGCUGAGGCGCGAAAGCUAGGGGAGCAAACAGG